rnacentral:rRNA from 1 species
UCGCCCCUACGGGACGCAGCAGUCGAGAAUCAUUCACAAUGGGGGAAACCCUGAUGGUGCGACGCCGCGUGGGGGAAUGAAGGUCUUCGGAUUGUAAACCCCUGUCAUGUGGGAGCAAAUUAAAAAGAUAGUACCACAAGAGGCAGAGACGGCUAACUCUGUGCCAGCAGCCGCGGUAAUACAGAGGUCUCAAGCGUUGUUCGGAAUCACUGGGCGUAAAGCGUGCGUAGGCUGUUUCGUAAGUCGUGUGUGAACGGCGCGGGCUCAACCCGCGGACGGCCCUUCAUCCUGCGAGAC